UGCCACUGGAUAAACAAACCUAAACAAAUAAAUGUGAUGCAGCUGCCCAAUAAAAGUCUUCUCAUUUAUAGUUUAUGCUCUCAAGCAAAAUCCAAAAAGAAAUGAUUGCUUUCUUAGAGAUUAUUUCUGUUUCACGUGUUUGCAAAAUUAGCCAUGUUCUUAUCCUAUCUUUACUUCAUUAAAGUGUUCCUUAGAUACAGAGUUUGAUAAGAAGUCAAAUCUGUUGUCAACAAGAAGUAAAAUGACAAGCAUCAUUUUCUGUUAAGUAGCUGUGGCUCUUUCUUUUAUUUCUUAACCAAUGGCAUGGGAGAAGAAGAGCUGAGAGCCUCUCAGGCAGGUAGCAGAGCUUUGUGGGUUCAAGACAGAGGCCGUAAUGCUCCAACGUUGCUGUUUUGUUGAUUGGUUUCUGUUCUGCUUAUGUCGGUUGGACCCAAAGUUCUCCUCUCUUGGGAGUUGAAUGGUCCUAUGAAGUAAAUUAAUGGUUUCAGUCCAAUUCAUGGGCAGAGAGACCCUCUAGGUAGCACUCUCUGGUAGCUAUGUUGGCAUUUGCAGCCAUCAUGCCAAGACUGAGAUUCUCUCCCGGUUCAGGUGUAGCACAUUAUGGAAAAACAUAGGGGACAGUACCCUAAGAGAUUUACUCUUCCCAUGAAGGAGGAAGAGGAGGGGAGGAGGAGGUAGGGGAGGGAGAGGGCUAUAGAGGAGAGAGAAAGAGAGAGAGCCUUCUGGUUUGAGGUGGUAUGGCCCUCUAGCAUUAAAAAAUCAUUUGCUUAUAAACUAUUUCAAUGUUAUUUUGCUCCAUUAUAUCUGCUAUGACAUUUGUAAGUGGAUGGAGAUUUUCCAUUUAUUGGCUUCCAACCAGAUCUUUAAAUACACUGUUUGAAGGUGGAGAUUAGUUCUUUGUUCUAUCAGCCCAUUUGCAAGAGGGGGCCUCUUUACACCUAUUUCUGGGCCAAUUACAUCUAUCAUAAUUUCUGUUAUCUGCUUGAGGUAAUGUAACCAGUUCAAUUUUGUUUGUUUUAUCUUGGCUCUGAGUGGGUUUUAGAUUGCAGAAUCCACAUAGAGAAUACAUUGGAAGAACUGGGCAUAAUUUCUUAUUUCUCCCUUUUUUUAAGACUACAACUUAAAAUGAAAGUUUAAGUAUAGACUACUAUGUGUGCAGUAAAAAACCUGGUUAACAUGUGAAUUCACUUUCUCUCUGACAUUAGACUUCCUGCCCCUACCACCCAUUACUAGGGAAAUUCAAGGUCUAUUUCUAUCUCAUGGUCUCAGUAUUCCUCAAAUUUUCAAUGUCAGUGCAGUAUGUCUGCUGUCAUAUUAUGGACAUAUUGUCUCUGAGAUUAUUGCACUGUAAUUUUCUCAUUGGAGAUAAAAAGGAGGGAUGGGAAAGUGCAAAAACAGCAGAAAUUGCUUGACAUUUUAUGCUCAUUUUAUGUCUUAUUUAGAAGACUAUAACCCACUUUCUUUUUUCAAUAAUAUUUAUUGGAUUAAAUUUAUAAAUUUUGCCUUAAGUGACAAAGAUUGACUAAAUAGAUUUCAGGCUCAGGUUUAAAAAGAAUUUAAUAAAUAGUGAUUUUCAGUUGACAUCCUCUUUAUAUGAUAUUUGGUGCUAAAUGUCACAAACCAGGACAAUAAUGUUCCAGAAACAUGAAAAUAAAACUUUAUGGGCAGGAGAAUUCAUAAUGCUUCAGAGGAAACACAAGGGACAGGGUUUUAUAGGGCAGUGCUGGCCGCUGAGCGCACCCACCAAGCACCAGUGCCAUCCUGUUAAAGUUUUAUCGGAAAAAGUCAGCAAUGUGAAGUGAUGCUUAUAAUUUCUGCGAUGUCUUUUUCCUCUAGUGGGGUUUUAUCCAACACACUGUCAAACAUCAAGGGUAUCUGUACUGUUUGCGUUUGUGAUUGUAAAGUUUUUGUGUUAAAAUGCUUUUGUUUGUUUAUUUGUCCUUUUAGGGUCACACCCAUGGCAUAUGGAAGUUCCCAGGCUAGGGGUUGAAUCAGGAUUGUAGCUGUCAGCCUACACCAUAGCAACUUGAGAUCUGAGCCACGUCUGAAACCUAUAUCACAGCUCACGGCAAUGCCAGCUCCUUAAGCCACUGAGCAAGGCCAGGGCUUGAACUCAGCUCCUCAUGGAUGCUAGUCAGAUUCAUUUCCACUGAGCCAUAGUGGGAACUCCUGAUAUUAUAUUUAAUCUAAUACUUCUAACUGCAUUACCUGACAUCUUUUUUAGAGUGAUCAAUAUGUCAGACUUCAAAAAGCAUGUCUAUCUGUCAGGAUCCAGAAAAACAGACUCCUGCAGGGUCCAGUAGAAAGAAUUACCUAGGGCGACCCAUUACAAUGAUGUUAGAACAGGCUAAAAGCCAAAUGGGCAGGGCGGCAACCCAGACAUUAGCGUCAGUAGGAACCCACUGCCACAACUAGGGCUGGAGGGAUAAAGGGGGAAGGUGGUGUGACCAGAGUGUUUGGGGACCCCAGGGAAAAGGAUCCAGCCAAUGGAAGCCAGCACACAAAGACUCAACCAUUGCUUGGAGCCACCUGUUAAAAGUAGAGAGAAGGGAAGACUCACCUCUCUUUCUCCCUUUUCCCACUCUCCUAAUUCCUCAGCUCUGACCAGUGCCUGCCAUUGGUAGGCUUUCACUUGAAGCCAGUUGAAAAGAGAGCUGGGAAAUGUAGUUCACAGGAAGAGUGAGGGAUUGCACUGAGGACAGAUUACCACUGUAUGAUAAUUCAGAUUUUGGGGGUAGGGUGGAGGAUGGAAUUGAGAAACAGUGAAAGCAUUAUAUUGUGGGAGGGAUUAAGUCUACAUGGUAUUAUCCAAAGCCUUAUAUUAAUUUUUCUUACUGGCAUUGAAUUACUAAAUGCUUUUAUCCAAUAGGAAAAUUUAGUUGAUAUCUUUUCAUCAUAGCAUUUUUGUUUGAUGCUUUGGAAAAUCCUCCAUGAAUAAUCUUGUUGGUUAAUUUUCAAAUGUUAACAUACUUUAAAUGUCACAAAAUAUUCAGUCUUCUCUAAUUAGAGCCAAUCUUUAAAACCCAAAACAACAGGAGACAGUUUCACCUGUUCCAAUGACAAUUAGUAGCUCUGACAAAGAAUUAUAGACACCCUCUUCCUCUCCUUCUGCAUCUUUGGAGGUAUCAAGAAUGGACCAGGAUAAAUUAACUGCCCUUGUAAUCAAGCAUUGCCUACAACUUGGAAAUAAUAAUGUGUUUUUUUUGGUUAUUUUGGAGGUUUUUUUUUUUUUUGGAGGUUGAGUGUACAGCAGUUUGUUUUUUGAUUGGAAGGCAAUGUCAGUUUUGAAAUGGCAGCAUAAUAAUCAAUUUGGAAAAGUGCACAUUAGCCGGUGUAAUGUUAUGUGCUGUGAAAAUAAUCUUGAUGAGCAUAGGAGAUGAGUCUGCAGCAAAAAUCUUGAAGAUUGUCUGUGUUAAAAUUUUGUCACAUCUGGAAGGCAUUUGAUGUAUAAAAUUACACAGGUUUGAUACCAUUUAGGGUUAAGACAUAUGGAUGGGACAUUAUGCAGAAACUUGUUCUUUUUCAUUCUCUUUAGAUUUAGCAAAAAGAUUUUUGAAUCAUAAGGAGUCCAUUUGAAUCUCCAUUAAAGAUAAACUGAGUAAAAUGGCAAAAUGGAAGGAAUUUUGAGCACAUGGUACACGGCCUGUACUCCUGAUUUCCUUUAGAGCGGAUUAAGCAAGUGGAAAUGCCUCUCAUCAUUUUUUCCCCAUUUUCCCCAUAAUCAUAGUAAUGAACAGUGGAUUCCAUGGUAGGCUGCUAUAAUAGACUUUCUACUAUUCUUGGUUAAAAUUACCUGUACUUUUAACUUUCCUCUUCAAACAACCAUUUGAAAAUAUAUUGUCCCAUAAAAUUAUAACAAAUCUUCAUAUUUCUGUUGGGUUAUAAAUUUCUCAGAUUUGUUCAAAUAUCUUAUUCCACUUAUUAGAAUAAUCCUGACCAUCUCUUGAAAAAACCAAAGGAAAAAUUGUAUUUGUUAGCCAUGUUUUUGUUUUUUCUUUUCUCAGUAAAAUUGAGUUACUUUCCUCUCAUGCGCUGUUUUCAUUUGCAGGAGGAAGUAACUCUCUCCUCAUUUGUUUCCUCAUUUUAUUCUUUUAGAGAAAAUGUUAGUUCACAUGAUGUAUUAUUCAAGUAGCUUUAUUCCUGGUAAAUUAACUUUUGCCCUGAAAACAUGGGCACAGAAGUUCUUUGAACCACUUAUCAAGGAACUCUUAGGACAUUUAAUACCAUUAUCUACCACAUCAACAAGCUUCCUGUUUCAUCAAGUAACUUCUCAGAUUUUUUUCCCUCUGAUACCAUGAUAAAGUUAUUUUUAUAAACAAAAGCAAUAAUGAAUAUCUGACAUACAAAUCUACUUUAUCUUGGUAAGAAAGUUUGUCUUACUCUAUUACUCUGAUAAUUAUUAUGUACCUUUGACUAAAUAUAUACAUCUAUUUUCAUAUGAAUAUAUCAUCCUAGACUUAAGAGCUGUGAUUUGAUAAUAAAUCAAGGGCUGGUUAUUAAUCACAUACAACUAAUAGGGUAUGUAAAAAAUCCACCAAUUUCUUUUCUCUAAGCUCAUAUAAUGAUUUAAAUAUAAAAAUUUCAAUGAUUUGGUAAAGUAUCUUUUUACCUAAAAUAAUGGAGAAAUCUAUUUUCCUGAGACAUUGGUUUUUAAGAACAUAUGCCAGUGAUAAAACAACCACUAAAACAAUAAUAGUAUGAGUUUUUGGUCAUUGACUCUACCAGUUGCUCAAUUUAUAUUUGUAGAGAGUUUGCAGACACUUACAAAAUAGACAAUGUAUAGAUAAUAACCAAACAAGUAAAAGUUAUGAUUGGUAUUACUGCCAAUUUAAUUAUAAUUUGAGAAAGAUGAUGAGUAUUUCAAGUAGUAUCAGCCAUCAAGGUCUUAUUCACUGUAAAGAGUGGUCAUUUAUUCAGCAAAUAUUGAUCGAGCAUAUACUACAUGCCAGGAAUUAUGCUAGGCAGUGAAUGAGACUAACGUGUAUUUUGAACCUCUGAAUCUUACACUCUGGCCGGAGACCUGGACACUAAGGCAGGACUUAAAUUACCUGUAUUGGUGUUUUCAAGGGGAAGUGUAGAGUGAAAACAGAGAAGGACUAACUAGGUGGGUGUUUAUUUUUUUGGGGGGGAGGUGGUGGGAAAUUAAACCUUAAAGUAUAUUUUAAAAAGCUCUUAGCCUUUCCCCACAAAUAUUUGUGCAUAUUUUCACUGUUGUAUGAAGUUUUUUUCCCCCCUCUUAUUCCUAUUGGAAAUGACUAAGUCUAAAAAUGCUUACCUUUUUAAAAUUCGGUGCUAAGUGAUUGAGCAAGAUGAAAACUGAUUCAGGCCUGAAGUGGUUUGCUUAGGGUCAGAGUACAAGUGUUGGCAGUUCUUGAGUGGAACCCAGGAGUUCUGACUCUCCAGACAGUCGUGAGAAAACAAGUCCUGCUCCCUGAGAAGGAAGAUUGCCAACAAAAUGUUAGAAAGUCUUGUGUCUGGUUUUAAUCUAGAUAAACACUAUUCUAUUAAGUUUUGGGGAAAUGCAAGAAAUGAUGUAGCACAGAAGGGCCAUGUGUACCCAGAAUGUGGUAUGUGUAGGGUUUAGCAUAAUGCAUGAAGCCCCCAGGACAAAAUAAAGCAGAUAUGCGAGUUACUGUGCCAGUCAGUGUAGCCAGUGCUAUUUAGGACUUAGGAGGUAAAAGAGCAUUUAUUUUCCCAUACUUUCCCUUUAAGAGAAAAUUUCAGGCCAAUAGGAUCAUAAAUGUUGCAUUUGGUUUAUGUUGAAAUUCUGCAUUGAUUUUUCAAUUUGCCUGCACAAUUAUGCUCUCGAGGCUGAUGACAUUCUGGUUUUCAUUUUCAGAUUCAUAUUUCACCAGCAUUUUCUUUGCACUACAUACCUUGCUAUAAAAUGCAGGUUUCUUGGUUUCCAAGGGGGAAAAAAAGUGUAUUACGUAGUAUAGCUGAAAUCCACAAUGUCUCCCAGAUGGGAAAGACAGAACAUUCAUCUCAUCUUUUCCUCCUGGAUCUGGCUGGGUUUUGGAAAGGACUUCAUUAUUUUUACGUGGCAGAGUGCACUGGCAAAUUGUUUUUUAAAUUACACAGUGGUAUGUUCAUCUAAUAUUAUAAGAUAUGGGCAGCAUUCAUGAAAAAUUAUAAAUCUUACAACUCUCCUCAGAAACUUAAAAUACAGCUGGAAGUGUUUUGCUUCCAACAAACAUGCAAUCUUCAUAAAAUUGGAGAAGAAAUGUUUUGAAUAAAUAAUGUUUUGGUUUAUUUCUCUCUAGUGUGAGAUCUAUUUUUUUUUUAGUCAAAAUCAUGCCGUAAAACUCCUCCUCCUUCUCCAUGCACACCCUUGCUUUGGUAUUUAUAUUUUGCUGGUAUAUCUAAUUUUUUUUUUCUUUUUUAAAGUAUGCCAGAUUGCUUUGCCUUGUUUUCAAAGAUAGAAAACUGGAUUUUCUCCCAGGGACUCUUUCCUUAACUAGGCCAGUUUUAAAAACUAAACAAGGAUUGAGUCAGUUAAUUAAUUUAAAUGAGAUUACAAAUCAAAAACAUAUUACACAAUCUUGAUUUAAUUACCACAUUUUAUUUACUUAAUUGAAAACACACGAUCGAAAGUGAGCAAUCUUGACAAUGACCAGUAUGGUGUCUUUGCAUUCUAUAGGCUCAAGCCUUCUUAAGCAAGAAGUUUAGAUGAUUCUGGUUGUGACCUUUGGUUCGCUCAAUCCCUAGAUCAGGAGAGAGUCAUUGAACUUAAUCUUAGGCCAGAAAGUUCAGAUACGAUCACCCCUGCUUUAAUUUGCUGGGGUUUGGCGCUAGGUGAUGAAGUAGCGGAAACCUCUGGUCACACACGUUGGCAGGUUUCACACUCUUUGUGCAGUGUCUUCCUAUCUGCCCUAGUGAAGUGUCUGCUGGGACUGAGAGGUCUGAUUUGCUCUCAUAUGGGUAUGUGCUUCCCCCACCCCCAACCUUAAAUUUCAGUGCCGUAUUUUUUUUGGCUAACUCCGUGUGAACAAAUUUUGGUUUUGAACCCAAACAAAUCCUUAUUUUAAGCCUCGUGAUAUAAUAUUUUGAACCUAAUCCUCCUGCUAAACAGAAAAAAGAGUGGCUCUUUAAAGAGAAAGUUUAGGAGUUGCCACUGUGUUUUCAGCAGGUUAAGAACCUAACUGGGGCGCUCCUGUCAUGGCUCAGUGGUUAAGGAAUCCGACUGGGAACCAUGAGGUUGCGGGUUCGAUACCUGGCCUUGCUAGUGGGUUAAAGAUCUGGCAUUGCUGUAAGCUGUGGUGUAACUUGCAGAUGCAGCUCGGAUCCCGUGUUGCUGUAGCUCUGGCGUAGGCCGGCAGCUACAGCUCUGAUUAGACCCCUAGGCUGGGAAUCUCCACGUGCUGUCGGUGCGGCCCUGG
rnacentral:lncRNA from 1 species